UUAAGCGACUAAGCGUACACGGUGGAUGCCCUGGCAGUCAGAGGCGAUGAAGGACGUGCUAAUCUGCGAUAAGCGUCGGUGAGGUGAUAUGAACCGUUAUAACCGGCGAUUUCCGAAUGGGGAAACCCAGUGUGAUUCGUCACACUAUCAUUAACUGAAUCCAUAGGUUAAUGAGGCGAACCGGGGGAACUGAAACAUCUAAGUACCCCGAGGAAAAGAAAUCAACCGAGAUUCCCCCAGUAGCGGCGAGCGAACGGGGAGGAGCCCAGAGCCUGAAUCAGUGUGUGUGUUAGUGGAAGCGUCUGGAAAGGCGCGCGAUACAGGGUGACAGCCCCGUACACAAAAAUGCACAUAUUGUGAGCUCGAUGAGUAGGGCGGGACACGUGGUAUCCUGUCUGAAUAUGGGGGGACCAUCCUCCAAGGCUAAAUACUCCUGACUGACCGAUAGUGAACCAGUACCGUGAGGGAAAGGCGAAAAGAACCCCGGCGAGGGGAGUGAAAAAGAACCUGAAACCGUGUACGUACAAGCAGUGGGAGCCUCUUAAUGGGGUGACUGCGUACCUUUUGUAUAAUGGGUCAGCGACUUAUAUUCUGUAGCAAGGUUAACCGAAUAGGGGAGCCGAAGGGAAACCGAGUCUUAACUGGGCGUUAAGUUGCAGGGUAUAGACCCGAAACCCGGUGAUCUAGCCAUGGGCAGGUUGAAGGUUGGGUAACACUAACUGGAGGACCGAACCGACUAAUGUUGAAAAAUUAGCGGAUGACUUGUGGCUGGGGGUGAAAGGCCAAUCAAACCGGGAGAUAGCUGGUUCUCCCCGAAAGCUAUUUAGGUAGCGCCUCGUGAAUUCAUCUCCGGGGGUAGAGCACUGUUUCGGCAAGGGGGUCAUCCCGACUUACCAACCCGAUGCAAACUGCGAAUACCGGAGAAUGUUAUCACGGGAGACACACGGCGGGUGCUAACGUCCGUCGUGAAGAGGGAAACAACCCAGACCGCCAGCUAAGGUCCCAAAGUCAUGGUUAAGUGGGAAACGAUGUGGGAAGGCCCAGACAGCCAGGAUGUUGGCUUAGAAGCAGCCAUCAUUUAAAGAAAGCGUAAUAGCUCACUGGUCGAGUCGGCCUGCGCGGAAGAUGUAACGGGGCUAAACCAUGCACCGAAGCUGCGGCAGCGACACUAUGUGUUGUUGGGUAGGGGAGCGUUCUGUAAGCCUGUGAAGGUGGCCUGUGAGGGUUGCUGGAGGUAUCAGAAGUGCGAAUGCUGACAUAAGUAACGAUAAAGCGGGUGAAAAGCCCGCUCGCCGGAAGACCAAGGGUUCCUGUCCAACGUUAAUCGGGGCAGGGUGAGUCGACCCCUAAGGCGAGGCCGAAAGGCGUAGUCGAUGGGAAACAGGUUAAUAUUCCUGUACUUGGUGUUACUGCGAAGGGGGGACGGAGAAGGCUAUGUUGGCCGGGCGACGGUUGUCCCGGUUUAAGCGUGUAGGCUGGUUUUCCAGGCAAAUCCGGAAAAUCAAGGCUGAGGCGUGAUGACGAGGCACUACGGUGCUGAAGCGACAAAUGCCCUGCUUCCAGGAAAAGCCUCUAAGCAUCAGGUAACAUCAAAUCGUACCCCAAACCGACACAGGUGGUCAGGUAGAGAAUACCAAGGCGCUUGAGAGAACUCGGGUGAAGGAACUAGGCAAAAUGGUGCCGUAACUUCGGGAGAAGGCACGCUGAUAUGUAGGUGAAGCGACUUGCUCGUGGAGCUGAAAUCAGUCGAAGAUACCAGCUGGCUGCAACUGUUUAUUAAAAACACAGCACUGUGCAAACACGAAAGUGGACGUAUACGGUGUGACGCCUGCCCGGUGCCGGAAGGUUAAUUGAUGGGGUUAGCGGUAACGCGAAGCUCUUGAUCGAAGCCCCGGUAAACGGCGGCCGUAACUAUAACGGUCCUAAGGUAGCGAAAUUCCUUGUCGGGUAAGUUCCGACCUGCACGAAUGGCGUAAUGAUGGCCAGGCUGUCUCCACCCGAGACUCAGUGAAAUUGAACUCGCUGUGAAGAUGCAGUGUACCCGCGGCAAGACGGAAAGACCCCGUGAACCUUUACUAUAGCUUGACACUGAACAUUGAGCCUUGAUGUGUAGGAUAGGUGGGAGGCUUUGAAGUGUGGACGCCAGUCUGCAUGGAGCCGACCUUGAAAUACCACCCUUUAAUGUUUGAUGUUCUAACGUGGGCCCCUAAUCGGGGUUGCGGACAGUGUCUGGUGGGUAGUUUGACUGGGGCGGUCUCCUCCUAAAGAGUAACGGAGGAGCACGAAGGUUGGCUAAUCCUGGUCGG
rnacentral:rRNA from 1 species